CAGUAGCCGCGGGAAUACGUAGGGUGCGAGCGUUGUCCGGAAUUAUUGGGCGUAAAGAGCUUGUAGGCGGUCUGUCGCGUCUGCUGUGAAAACCCGAGGCUCAACCUCGGGCCUGCAGUGGGUACGGGCAGACUAGAGUGCGGUAGGGGAGAACGGAACUCCUGGUGUAGCGGUGGAAUGCGCAGAUAUCAGGAAGAACACCGAUGGCGAAGGCAGUUCUCUGGGCCGUAACUGACGCUGAGAAGCGAAAGCGUGGGGAGCGAACAGGAUUAGAUACCCCUGUAGUCCCUGUCUCUUAUAC
rnacentral:rRNA from 1 species